rnacentral:lncRNA from 10 species
CUGGAAUUUGAUGUCCUAGGGCAGGAGAAGAAAAGGGGUACUGCUCUGGAAAAGAGAGAGAAAGAGAGAAAAAAAAGGAAGCAAGAAAAAGAAAAAAAGAAAAGCAAGCAAGCUGAAUGUCUUCCUUCUUCCACCUCCUUUGUUCCUGCUGUACUGCCACUGCCCAAUAUAUAAUAUUUCAGGAAACAUUGCUUUAUGAAGGGCUCCAUAACAGUUAAUGAAGGUAAGUCUGUAUGGCAUGUUAUUGUAAUGAAUUUUCUGGUGAAAAUUAAUUAGAUGUGUGAAUGUGUGAAUGCUAA